ACAAGGGUAUCAGUUUGCAAUUCCGGAAAUUUUGCGGCUGAGCAAACCAACCCCGGAUGUUAGAAUUCUCGCCACUUUCUCUUUCAAACCUAUAUUUAGAUCGGGAAGACGUACCAAAAUCCGCUCCUGAAAACAUCCUUUGAAAUCAACAUUUAUGCAGCUAAUGUGUUUGAAUUAGUUUAUUUAGACAUUUAUUUUAACGUUUUACUGCUAGUGGUGUACGGAUGGCUUGAUUUUAUUCAGAUUGGAACGGAUUGGGAAAUUCGUUAUACCAACGUGCCAUCCCUCGCUGCACAUUUAGUUCGUUCCCAACUACAAUAUCAUUAUAUCUAUACCGAUAACUUGUAUUUCCUAUUUUAUUAUUAUUAUUAUUAUUAUUAUUAUUAAUUUCUAUAUUGUUACUGGUAACCAUGCCUAAGACAAAACCCAAGAGAUCCAGCCGGAUAGCUAGAACUCUGCCCCAGCCGGAACCUCAUGUCACACGCGGUCACCGCCGGCGGCAAGAUCAAUCCGCGGUGACCACACCUGAGCCACGGAAAAAGACAGUCUGCUCCACUGACUUCAGCAGCGGGCAACGACACCCGGCGUCGCGGACAGCAGGACCAACGCACGGAGUCCACGACAGCAAGUCGAGGCUCCCAGGCAUCCUCACAGGCCCCACAGUUGGACAACUCGGACUCGGAAAUCACAGAACAGAAUCCGGGUUUUGUGACUCAUACUUUCUGUUCACAAUGCUUGUCCAUUUCUUCUGUGCAUAAUUGUCAUUCAAACUUAGUUCCAGUUUAUGAUUGCAACAGACACAACGAGAAUUUGCAAGUGGAAAUACACAUAUGUUUAAAAAUUGUUAUGCAAAUAAAUGCAUAGAGUAUUAUUUGAUUUUAUAUCCGUAAAUGAAAAACGUAAGUCAUGAGAAUUGCAGUGGGAAGUUCACAAUUAUAUUUCCUGGUACAUGUAUUAGACUAAGUUACUUAGGGGAAAAUAGUCGUAUGUAAACAAAUUGUCCAACGAUACAUCUAUUUCCUGUUGAUUAAGUAUAUAUAUUUUAUUUGAAUUAUCUUAUUUCAAUGACAAAUAAUUUAUACAUCAUACUUAUGCUUGGGUCCUUGUGAUAGAAGUGCUCAUUUAUAGGUGAGAUUGCAAGUCAUUUUGUUAAGAAUUUAUUAUUUGAGGGAGGGGGGUGUAUUUUUAGUGUUGCUGCAAGUUAUUUAAUAACCUAACGAAUGGACGACACCAGGACCUCAGUUUCAAUAUUUCAUCCAUGCAAUUUUCACUUUUAACGCAAGUACUCAGCGAAUGAAAGGGUGAAGUUAUCAAACAUUGACCAAUCUCAUAAUUACCAUAAAGAAUUCAAAUGAAGAGAGAAGGGCGAACACGGACCCCUGGAUAUACCAGAGGCGAGAUAUGGUGCUUAGGAAGAGUAAGAUUUCCCUGUUGACCGGCCAUACCCCCUCCCCAGAGCCCUAUAUCACAAUCUGGUAAACGGUUGUUUGGUAGGUUGUAUCGUCGACUGUCCUAUUUCGGUGACUGACCAGAAUCGGUGACCCUUUGUUUACGUGUGCGUGUUGUCGUUUCCGGGUGUAGAUUGCAUCAUCAAUUUCGCCGUAGUGUUUGCAAACAUAUAUAGAGUAAGUCUUAAAUUUUUUUCCGAAAAUGAACUACUAGAAGGAUAGUAUGCAAAAAAUCAACAAGAGCUCCCUGUAACAAUCACGAGUAUGCCAUAUCGAAUACGCCCUUGAAAUUUGAAUUACCCAUAAUUCUCCGCAAAUAGCUCAGUGGCGCUCGAACAAUAGUGGCCGGGUCAUUUCCAGGAGAGUCGCCAUGUAAGACAGACGGGUACAUUGUCACAGCGGGCUAAUAUCUUCAUUCGUUCAAGAAUUCAAUUUUAGUUAGGGAACUUAUGACUUGGGCACGGAUAGCAGACCGUGCGUCAUAUCUGUGAUGAUGAUGAUCGUGAUGGUGACUUCAUCGUGGUGAUGAUAAUUGUGACGAUGGUGAUGAUAUCAACGUGGAUUGUCUCGGACAUCCUAUACCAUUCCCAGCUUUGGAUAUAAAGCCCGGAAGGACUGGAGGGAUUGGGUGUGACAUCUACAGUUUGAUGUGACUUUUUGUGAUACAAAACGAUCCAUUCUAUUGGCAAUUUAAUUUUCCCGGGUUUUCUUUUGUUUGAAUUUUUAUACAUAUACGAUAGGUACUGUUUUCCUGUUAUCGUGAAUAUUAGUUUUUUUUUUUUUUUGGUAGGUGUGUGAUUGGUGUGAGACUGUUACCUAUAUAUCUUCCUUUCAUUUGAAAAUAAAUUUUUUUCAAUAAUUCUU